rnacentral:rRNA from 1 species
UACAGAGGGGGCAAGCGUUAUUCGGAAUUAUUAGGCGUAAAGGGCGCGUAGGCGGCUUGGCAAGUGGAUGGUGAAAUCCCUCGGCUUAACCGAGGAACUGCCAUCCAGACUGCUUUGCUUGAGGCCGGGAGAGGUGAGUGGAAUUCCCAGUGUAGCGGUGAAAUGCGUAGAUAUUGGGAGGAACACCAGUGGCGAAGGCGGCUCACUGGACCGGUUCUGACGCUGAUGCGCGAAAGCGUGGGGAGCAAACAGG